UACAGAGGGGGCAAGCGUUGUUCGGAAUUACUGGGCGUAAAGGGCGCGUAGGCGGCCCUCUAAGUCGAACGUGAAAUCCCCGGGCUCAACCCGGGAACUGCGUCCGAUACUGGAAGGCUUGAAUCCGGGAGAGGGAUGCGGAAUUCCAGGUGUAGCGGUGGAAUGCGUAGAGAUCCGGAAGAACACCGGUGGCGAAGGCGGCCCGCUGGGCUGUUGCUGACGCUGAGGCGCGAAAGCGUGGGGAGCAAACAGG
rnacentral:rRNA from 1 species